rnacentral:rRNA from 1 species
UACGGAGGGGGCUAGCGUUGUUCGGAAUUACUGGGCGUAAAGCGCACGUAGGCGGCUUUGUAAGUUAGAGGUGAAAGCCCGGGGCUCAACCCCGGAAUUGCCUUUAAGACUGCAUCGCUAGAAUUGUGGAGAGGUAAGUGGAAUUCCGAGUGUAGAGGUUAAAUUCGUAGAUAUUCGGAAGAACACCAGUGGCGAAGGCGACUUACUGGACACAUAUUGACGCUGAGGUGCGAAAGCGUGGGGAGCAAACAGG